rnacentral:rRNA from 1 species
AGAGUUUGAUCCUGGCUCAGAACGAACGCUGGUAGCGUGGAUUAGGCAUGCAAGUCGAACGGGAUCACCCGUGUAGCAAUACUCGGGUGUGAGAGUGGCGGAUUGGGGAGGAACACGUGAGCAACCUGCCCUUGAGUUCGGGAAAACCGUUGGAAACGACGGCUAAUAUCGGAUGUGGCGCCCUGUGACAUCACGGGAGCGCUAAAGGGGGCCGCAAGGCUCCCGCUCAUGGAGGGGCUCGCGCAUCAUCAGCUUGUUGGCGGGGUAACGGCCCACCAAGGCUUACGAUUAGCUGGUCUGAGAGGAUGACCAGCCCCACUGGGACUGAGAUACUGCCCAGACUCCUACGGGAGGCUGCAGUCGAGGAUCAUUUGCAAUGGGGGAAACCCUGACAAUGCGACGCUGCGUGGAGGAUGAAGGCCCUCGGGUUGUAAACUCCUGUCAUAGUGGAACAGGCGAUCGGACCUAAUACGUCCGAAAGUUGAGUGUACAUUAAGAGGAAGCGACGGCUAACUCUGUGCCAGCAGCCGCGGUAAUACAGAGGUCGCGAGCGUUGUUCGGAUUUACUGGGCGUAAAGGGCGCGUAGGCCGCGACGUGUGUCGGAUGUGAAAUCUCCGGGCCCAACCCGGAAAGUGCGUCCGAAACUGCGUCGCUUGAGGACGGAAGAGGGAAUCGGAAUAUAGGGUGUAGCGGUGAAAUGCGUUGAUAUCCUAUAGAACACCGGAGGCGAAGGCGGAUUCCUGGUACGUAUCUGACGCUGAGGCGCGAAAGUCGGGGGAGCAAACAGGAUUAGAUACCCUGGUAGUCCCGACCUUAAACGGUGCAAAAACGGGGUGGGGGGAUUUCAACCCCUCCGGUCCCUUAGCUAACGCGUUAAGUUUGCCGCCUGGGGAGUACGACCGCAAGGUUAAAACUCAAAGAAAUUGACGGGGGCCCGCACAAGCAGAGGAGCAUGUGGCUUAAUUCGAUGCAACGCGAAGAACCUUACCUGGGUUUGACAUACAGCUGCUCGGCCUAUGAAAGUAGGCUUCCUUCGAGGGUGCUGUACAGGUGCUGCAUGGCUGUCGUCAGUUCGUGCCGUGAGGUGUUUGGUUAAGCCCACCAACGAACGCAACCCCUUUGACCAGUUGCCAGCGGGUGAUGCCGGGAACUCUGGUCACACUGCCGUUUCACAACGGAGGAAGGUGGGGAUGACGUCAAGUCAGUAUGGCCCUUACAUCCAGGGCUGCACACGUGCUACAAUGGCCGGUACAGAGGGACGCGAAGCCGCGAGGCGGAGCAAACCCCCCAGAGCCGGCCCCAGUUCAGAUCGGGGUCUGCAACCCGACCCCGUGAAGUCGGAUUUGCUAGUAACGGCGUAUCAGCUACGACGCCGGGAAUGCGAAAAGGGGCCUUGCACUCACCGCCCGUCA